UGCACCAAUCUGUUCUCGUGUUCGAUUC
rnacentral:piRNA from 1 species